GGUACAUUCUUCCCAUCCUGAGUUUUCCGCUGGUUCACCGUGAUAGCGCUGGUCGAGCUGGGCUGUUGUACUGAACAUGUGUCCUGGGUGUGAAUGAUAAAACCACACACAUACAUAUACUCACACGGAUUCACUUCUGAAGAUGUUUUGGAUUAAAGGAACCCAAGUUAUCAUUGCUGUGGACCCUCUCUUUCAUCAUAUAAGUCACCUGUGCCUUCUGACCGAGGAUAGGAAUAUCCUGCUGUAAUUUGCCAGUUUAUUAAGCACACACAUGUCCAGUUCAAGGGGUAUAGUUGCUGUCUCUGAUUAUCCUUUGGUGUCCCAGCAUUAGUGCUUCCUAACCCAGUGGGAGAAACAAUUCGUCACUGAUCUAGGUGACUUCUUCAGUCUCAGCUGACUGCAGCUUUCCCCAACCUUUUAAUGCAUUUGCAUUAUGACUGAAACUAUCACCACUGAAGGAACAAUGGGCUAAACAAUGUAUGUACAAUGUUCAGUAUCAGCUAUGUUGCCUGUCUGCUUCUACGUUCUUCAUUAGCCUUCUGUGUUUUUAUGUCAGAGCCUCUCUUAGUUCAGUGUUGCGUCGUCCCUCAUUUUACACUGUGUGUUCGGUUUGCUAGCUCGCCCACCUGUUUAGUUUGUUUUGUAUUCUCAGUUUAGUUAGUUUUCUGUUCGGUUGCUAUCCAACAAUAAAGCUGUGUGUUUUGACUUUACGUCUGCCUCCGUGAGUCCUGCUUUUGGGUCUGCAAUUUUCUGCCUGCCUUCCCACAGCCAUGAUAGUUUUCACUGAUUCUUCUAUUUACAGCAUAUAUUAAGGGGAAUAUAUUCUAUAUGUGCAACUUCUUCUUUAGCCACAAUUUACUAACAUCCCUGAAGGAAGCACAAACUUGUUGUCACAUUGUCAUGUAAAUUUCCAUGUAUUCAUUUGGUAAUUUAGGAAAUGUAUAAAUAUUUGAAUACUUCAUUCUAAUCUGCUGCUCAGUUUUUUAUGCUGCUGGAAUUGCAACUGCUAUAACACACAACACACACCAAGAACACCUAUCCUGGG